CAAGGCCUAUGAUGGAAUUUGAUAACAUGCCUACAUUGUCUGAUCAUAUAAGUUUGAUUGAGCAACAUGAACUGAGGCCUUG
rnacentral:snoRNA from 1 species